UACGAAGGGGGCUAGCGUUGCUCGGAAUCACUGGGCGUAAAGCGCACGUAGGCGGAUUCUUAAGUCGGAGGUGAAAUCCUGGAGCUUAACUCCAGAACUGCCCCCGAUACUGGGAGUCUUGAGUUCGAGAGAGGUGAGUGGAACUGCGAGUGUAGAGGUGAAAUUCGUAGAUAUUCGCAAGAACACCAGUGGCGAAGGCGGCUCACUGGCUCGAUACUGACGCUGAGGUGCGAAAGCGUGGGGAGCAAACAGG
rnacentral:rRNA from 1 species